AUGAUGAUGAAUGUCUGUGUUUGUGUAGAUGGCAAGAGCAGUGAUGAAGGCCUUUCCAGCUGUUCCAGACAUAAGGUUUGGAACAUCCAAAAAAGAAAUGGCAAAUGAGUGGCAAACAAUGGCUGUCCAGAUACUGAAAGCAUCAGUGUUCGAUGAAGCCAAUAACUGUGCCAUGUGCUCUAUGGCAAAGCCCAUUGGACCUGGGCCUCCUGUGACAAAAUGGAUCCAGUGUGACAGCUGUGUAAAAUGGUUCCAUGAAGAGGUCCUAGGCAUGGCUGAAGAAGACCUGAAACAGGCCAGAGCAGACAACUGGAACUGCAGCUUGUGCUGUUAAAUCCCUUUUGAAGAAAAGUUUAAAACACAAAAAAAUGCCUUUUUUGCUUAUUCAUUUAUUUAUUUAACAUAUCCACUUCUUAAUUUUGUAACUGUACUACAAAAAUUGUUGCUAC
ensembl:lncRNA